rnacentral:misc_RNA from 1 species
UUUUUUUUACAGAUUUAAUGGCCGACGUUGACACUCGUGCAGACUGUGAUGAGAGUAGAUGUUCAUUGUCAAACAUAGAAGAUAAUUUUGGUGAAAACUGCACAAGAAAAGUUCACGCUCAGAAACAAGCAUUGAAAGUGGAAAAUGAGCAUUGGGAUAUCAAUUAUACAAUACUCCGAGUCUUCGUCUGUCUCUUGAUACUGUUCUGUAUAAUUUUACAGAACUAUAUGGAUUACAGAGCAUUAAAAGGGGGAAAAAAGGUGGGGGAAACUGUUCAUAUAAUGAAACACACCAGAUGCUGUAUGACAUACUGCAGGAAAUGGAAUUGUACACGAUAGAGUAUGAGGAGUUCCUCUCCCUGGAUCCUUCAUGUUCCUCCAGAACUAUAUUUGUGUGGCCGUCCAAAGGUCAAGGUGAUUUCUGGGCUUGGGAGCCACUGGAGAAGACACUUAAAGUCAAUACUACCUUGUUUGUCAGGUGACAGGAAUUUCCCAGCCUGUAAAUUCUUUUUAUAGUGUUGUUAUUUCUAUUUAUAGAAAGAGGGAUGAAAGUCAGCAAUUUUAAUUUAUUUGCAAGGACAGAUUUUGUCAGAUUUAUUUUUAUACUGGUAUUAAAGCAUUAAUGUUUUAUAUAUUUCAUAUUUUAGUUGAUUGGUAUUAUUACUUUGUGCACCUUGAUUUUCUUGCCUUUGCAUAUUUUAUUUUUUAUAUUAUGAUUAGAUCCCUAUCAUGAUAUACUGUAUACAAGGAAAUAUUCGCCCCUGUUUUAUUUUCGCUCCUUUCACCCUUAUUGUCUGGAGGUGAAUUUAAGACGGUGCGAAUUUUAAUGUUUCAAAUCAUAUCUUUCUGAAGAUACUGGGUCAGGGCGAAAUCAAAACAGGAUGAAACUGUUUGAAAGUGAAGAAGGGCGAAAAUUACAUGGGGCAAAAAUAACCCUGUAUACAGUACCCUAAUUCCAUCAUGAUAAAGGCAUUAUAAUGAAUUUUGAUAAUGUUUAUUUGAAUGUUCAUUCAAAAUUUCGUAUGCAGUGGUUGUUUUUAGCUAGUUAUGAGAUCAACAGAAGUAUCAUGUCUAGUCAAUCAACCUUAAAUACAAAGGAUCCUAUGGAUUCAGUUAGAUACAUUACUUAUAUAUAUAUUACAGUGAUAUGUUUAUCUGUGCUUGCCAGUUUGAGAGUGAUGUAUGAUGAUUGACUUUGUAUGUAGCAUAUGCCAUAUGUAUACAUGUAUUUUAAUCUUAUACCGGUUAUGUCAAUUAUUGAAUAAACAAAAAUAACU